rnacentral:lncRNA from 1 species
UCCUGAUGGAGAAACGAGAUGCUCUUGCCAGCCUUCCUAGCUCCUGUCUCAAGGCACAAAGGGAAUUAGAGCACGUCAAAGAAGCUGGGACUGGAUAGCACCUCUUCUCCAUGGAAAGGGCUGAGGCUAAGAAGGUUCGGCUCUAACUCAGUUUACAUCAGAGGGCUUCUCAGUGCAUUUGUAGAAAAUUAAGCCUCAACAGGU